rnacentral:rRNA from 1 species
UACAGAGGUCCCAAGCGUUGUUCGGAUUCACUGGGCGUAAAGGGUGCGUAGGCGGUCGGGUAAGUCUGGCGUGAAAUCUCCAAGCCUAACUUGGAAACUGCGUUGGAUACUAUCCGGCUCGAGGAAUGGAGGGGAGACUGGAAUACUUGGUGUAGCAGUGAAAUGCGUAGAUAUCAGGAGGAACACCGAUGGCGAAGGCAGGUCUCUGGGCUGACACUGACGUUCAUGCACGAAAGCGUGGGGAGCAAACAGG